AGAAGGUUUGAGAUGAUUCUAAGAAGUUCUAGAAGGUUCUAAGAAGGUUUUUGUAGAUCCUAGUAGAUUCUAAAAGAUUUCAAAAGGUUCCAAUAGGUUCUUAGAAGGUUUUAGAAGGUUUUAGAAGGUUUUAGUAGAUUCUAAGAAAGUUUUAGAAGGUCAUAGGAAAUCUUGGAAGGCUCUUGGAGGCUUUUGAUCAUUUAAGAAG
rnacentral:lncRNA from 1 species